rnacentral:ncRNA from 1 species
UUUUGUCUCUAUAAAAGUUUGAUUCUUGCUUUGUUAAUUUAUUCUAUUAUGAUUUUAUAUGUAAGUUUUUGCUUUAUAUAAAUAUAUAUAUCUAAAUGGUUUAUAUUUGUUUUGUUUUUCGCAGUAUUUAAUAUUGUUUUUUUAUUAAUAUAAGAUUUAGUUAAUAAUAUAAUUCUGACUAAUUUUGUGCCAGCAGUCGCGGUUAUACUAAAGGGAUAAGUAAAUUGUUUUGGUUUGUAUUAUUUUUUAUAUUGAAUUAUUUUUUUAUUUUAUUGGGUGAAAUCUUAAUUUAUUUUAUAUUUUGGUUAAUUAUAAUAUACGAAAAUUAUUUUUUAAACUAGGAUUAGAUACCCUAUUAUUUUAAUUGUAAAUUUAUAACCUUAAUAUUAAUAGUUAUGAUCUUUAAAUUUAAAGAAUUUGGCGGUAAUUUAAUCUUUCCAGAGGAACCUGUUCUGUAAUUGAUAAUCCACGUUAAAUUUUACUUUAUUUUUAUUUGUAUACCUCUGUCGUUGAGUGUUUUAAAAGAAUUAUUCUCUAUUGUCUUUACUAGGUAAAAUGUUAGGUCAAGGUGCAGUUAUAAUAAAGUAGAAAUGGGUUACAUUUAAUUUUAUUAAUGAAUUAUUAUAUGAAAAUUAAUAUGAAAGUGGAUUUGGAAGUAAUAUUUUUUAGAAAAAAAAUAUGACUUUAGCUCUAAAUUAUGUACAUAUCGCCCGUCGCUCUCGUUAAUUAAGAUGAGAUAAGUCGUAACAAAGUAGGCUUACCGGAAGGUGAGCCUGGUCAUUUA